rnacentral:rRNA from 1 species
GAUGAACGCUAGCGGCAGGCCUAACACAUGCAAGUCGAGGGGUAGUCCCGAUUUAUCGGGAUGAGACCGGCGCACGGGUGCGUAACGCGUAUGCAAUCUACCUUAUACUAAGGGAUAGCCCAGAGAAAUUUGGAUUAAUACCUUAUAGUUAAUAAAAAAGGCAUCUUUUUAAUUGUAAAGAUUAAUUGGUGUAAGAUGAGCAUGCGUCCCAUUAGUUAGUUGGUAAGGUAACGGCUUACCAAGACGAUGAUGGGUAGGGGUCCUGAGAGGGAGAUCCCCCACACUGGUACUGAGACACGGACCAG